rnacentral:rRNA from 1 species
GACGAACGCUGGCGGCGUGCCUAAUACAUGCAAGUCGAGCGAACGGAGGAGAGCUUGCUCUCCGAAGUUAGCGGCGGACGGGUGAGUAACACGUGGGAAACCUGCCUAUAAGACUGGGAUAACUUCGGGAAACCGGAGCUAAUACCGGAUAGAUUCUUUCCUCUCAUGCGGAAGGAAGGAAAGAUGGUUUCGGCUAUCACUUAUAGAUGGGCCCGCGGCGCAUUAGCUAGUUGGUAAGGUAACGGCUUACCAAGGCGACGAUGCGUAGCCGACCUGAGAGGGUGAUCGGCCACACUGGGACUGAGACACGGCCCGGACUCCUACGGGAGGCAGCAGUAGGGAAUCUUCCGCAAUGGACGAAAGUCUGACGGAGCAACGCCGCGUGAACGAUGAAGGCCUUCGGGUCGUAAAGUUCUGUUGUUAGGGAAGAACAAGUAUGAGAGUAACUGCUCGUACCUUGACGGUACCUAACCAGAAAGCCACGGCUAACUACGUGCCAGCAGCCGCGGUAAGAC